GACGAACGCUGGCGGCGUGCUUAACACAUGCAAGUCGAACGGAAAGGCCCUGCUUUUGUGGGGUGCUCGAGUGGCGAACGGGUGAGUAACACGUGAGUAACCUGCCCUUGACUUUGGGAUAACUUCAGGAAACUGGGGCUAAUCCCGGAUAGGAGCUCCUGCUGCAUGGUGGGGGUUGGAAAGUUUCGGCGGUUGGGGAUGGACUCGCGGCUUAUCAGCUUGUUGGUGGGGUAGUGGCUUACCAAGGCUUUGACGGGUAGCCGGCCUGUGAGGGUGACCGGCCACAUUGGGACUGAGAGACGGCCCAGACGCCUACGGGAGGCAGCAGUGGGGAAUAUUGCACAAUGGGCGGAAGCCUGAUGCAGCAACGCCGCGUGCGGGAUGACGGCCUUCGGGUUGUAAACCGCUGUCGCCUGUGACGAAGCGUGAGUGACGGUAAUGGAUAAAGAAGCACCGGCUAACUACGUG
rnacentral:rRNA from 1 species